UAUGUACACGUAUAACACCCUAUAGUCUCAGUGUACUAUAGGUUAUAACAUCGAGGUUUUCAUAAGUACACUAUACUCUAUAAUGUUCAAAUAACACCUAAAG